rnacentral:rRNA from 1 species
GCUUACGGCCACACGGCCUGGUUCACGCCCGAUCUCGCUUUGAUCUCGGAAGCUAAGAUAGGUUGGGCCUGGUUAGUACUUUGAUGGGAGACCGCCUGGGAAUACCAGGUGCUGUAAGCU